AGUCUAGCAUGUGCGCGAGUCAUUGGGACUCAAUAAACCUAAAGGCGCAAUGAAAGUGAAAGUCUGUUUACGCGGACUUAGGGAGGAUAGGUGCGUGCACAUGGUGUACAACUUCGCACUCCCGGGGCGUCUCGCACUCAUUGCGAGGUGGGGCGCACCAAGAGCGUACACGCUGGGACCCGAAAGAUGGUGAACUAUGCCUGGUCAGGACGAAGUCAGGGGAAACCCUGAUGGAGGUCCGUAGCGAUUCUGACGUGCAAAUCGAUCGUCGGAACUGGGCUUAGGGGCGAAAGACUAAUCGAACCAUCUAGUAGCUGGUUCCCACCGAAGUUUCCCUCAGGAUAGCUGGCACUAGAUUAUGGAUGAGUCUCAUCCGGUAAAGCGAAUGAUUAGAGGCAUUGGGGUCGAAACGGCCUCAACCUAUUCUCAAACUUUAAAUGGGUGAGAUCUCCGGCUUGCUCGAUUUAUGAAGCCGGAGAUCGGAUCAAUUAGUGCCAAGUGGGCCACUUUUGGUAAGCAGAACUGGCGCUGUGGGAUGAACCAAACGCAGAGUUAAAGCGCCAAAAUCGACGCUUAUGGGAUACCAUGAAAGGCGUUGGUAACUUAAGACAGCAGGACGGUGGCCAUGGAAGUCGGAA
rnacentral:rRNA from 1 species